rnacentral:rRNA from 1 species
GAUCAUGGCUCGAGGACGAACGCUGGCGGCGUGCUUAACACAUGCAAGUCGAACGAUGAAAGCGGGAGCUUGCUCCUGCUGGAUUAGUGGCGAACGGGUGAGUAACACGUGAGCAAUCUGCCCCGAACUCUGGGAUAAGCGUUGGAAACGACGUCUAAUACCGGAUACGACGCGCGAAGGCAUCUUCUGCGCGUGGAAAGAAUUUCGGUUCGGGAUGAGCUCGCGGCCUAUCAGCUAGUUGGUGAGGUAAUGGGCUCACCAAGGCGACGACGGGUAGCCGGCCUGAGAGGGUGACCGGCCACACUGGGACUGAGACACGGCCCAGACUCCUACGGGAGGCAGCAGUGGGGAAUAUUGCACAAUGGGCGCAAGCCUGAUGCAGCAACGCCGCGUGAGGGACGACGGCCUUCGGGUUGUAAACCUCUUUUAGUAGGGAAGAAGCGAAAGUGACGGUACCUGCAGAAAAGCACCGGCUAACUACGUG